CCUACGGGUGGCAGCAGUGAGGAAUAUUGGUCAAUGGACGAGAGUCUGAACCAGCCAAGUAGCGUGAAGGAUGACUGCCCUAUGGGUUGUAAACUUCUUUUAUAUGGGAAUAAUAUGUUCUACGUGUGGGCUUUUGUAUGUACCAUAUGAAUAAGGAUCGGCUAGCUCCGUGCCAGCAGCCGCGGUAAUACGGAGGAUCCGAGCGUUAUCCGGAUUUAUUGGGUUUAAAGGGAGCGUAGGUGGAUUGUUAAGUCAGUUGUGAAAGUUUGCGGCUCAACCGUAAAAUUGCAGUUGAAACUGGAGGUCUUGAGUACAGUAGAGGUAGGCGGAAUUCGUGGUGUAGCGGUGAAAUGCUUAGAUAUCACGAAGAACUCCGAUUGCGAAGGCAGCUCACUGGACUGCAACUGACACUGAGGCUCGAGAGUGUGGGUAUCAAACAGGAUUAGAUACCCCAGUAGUC
rnacentral:rRNA from 1 species